UGAGAGGGAGAAGGCGUCUUCUGUAGAGUGUCAAUAAUAUGAGGGGAGGGAGGUAUUGUGAGCCGAGUGCUCUCUCGGCAACCACGGUUGUCCUCCCUUCCCUCGAAUUCUUUGGACUGAUGGUCGAGGGAGGUACAAGGAUUCCGGAUUGCUAUGUUGUUGUUGUUGGGGUCCUCCUCUCGUGGCCCUCUUCCUGCGACUUACUUUCUCCCACCGGUUCCAUUCAUAUUCGAGAGUGAGUCGUGAUUCUCUAUUACGGACCAGUGGAAAAUUGGAUCAUAAUGUUACUCCGGCACAAUGGACCUUUGGUUCGCUUCGGAAAAUCACAGUACAGACGUACUGGCGCCUCUGGAGCUUCAUCGUACCCUCAAAUCUCUCGCCACGACGAGAUGAUGUAAUUACUGUCCCUGAUAUGAUGUAGUUACUUAAGACGGCUCAAAAUCGGCAACAAGGAGCAUGCCAGUUCUAAUAAAAUUGAAUAUUUAAUCAAUUGAA